rnacentral:misc_RNA from 1 species
CUUGGCUAUUCAUAUAAUCAUGUGUUGAAAUCGAAGUUUAUUGUAUUAUGUUGUCUAAAGGUUUGAAAUAAAUUUCGUUGGUUUAAAAUUAUAUAUGAAUAAAUCAUAACUACAUUUUAGGGGAAGGCUGUAUUGUAAUGGUUUUACUGAAUACUGUGUGGAGAGGUGGACGUAGUAUGAUGCUUGAAAAUUGACUUGUGAUACUAUUUUACUAUAAUAUAAAAAAAAG